AUUGAACGCUGGCGGCAUGCCUUACACAUGCAAGUCGAACGGUAACAGGUCUUCGGAUGCUGACGAGUGGCGAACGGGUGAGUAAUACAUCGGAACGUGCCUAGUAGUGGGGGAUAACUACUCGAAAGAGCGGCUAAUACCGCAUGAGAUCUACGGAUGAAAGCAGGGGAUCGCAAGACCUUGUGCUACUAGAGCGGCCGAUGGCAGAUUAGGUAGUUGGUGGGAUAAAAGCUUACCAAGCCGACGAUCUGUAGCUGGUCUGAGAGGACGAUCAGCCACACUGGGACUGAGACACGGCCCAGACUCCUACGGGAGGCAGCAGUGGGGAAUUUUGGACAAUGGGCGAAAGCCUGAUCCAGCAAUGCCGCGUGCAGGAUGAAGGCCUUCGGGUUGUAAACUGCUUUUGUACGGAACGAAAAGCCCUGGGUUAAUACCCUGGGGUCAUGACGGUACCGUAAGAAUAAGCACCGGCUAACUACGUGCCAGCCGCCGCCGUAA
rnacentral:rRNA from 1 species